rnacentral:sRNA from 1 species
GAUACCAGGGUCAAAAGGUCAGAAAGCCGAUGCAAGCUUGCUUGCAAGAGGAUUUUUGACCUUUUGACCCGCCAAAAACAUGAGUAAGUAGCCAUUUUUCAAAGAAAAAUGAGCGGAUUACGAAUGUUUUUGAGGAUUGCAAGAGUGCAAGGCACGUAGCAAUCUGGU